GACGAACGCUGGCGGCGUGCCUAAUACAUGCAAGUAGAACGCUGAAGGAGGAGCUUGCUUCUCCGGAUGAGUUGCGAACGGGUGAGUAACGCGUAGGUAACCUGCCUGGUAGCGGGGGAUAACUAUUGGAAACGAUAGCUAAUACCGCAUAACAGUAGAUGUUGCAUGACAUUUGCUUAAAAGGUGCAAUUGCAUCACUACCAGAUGGACCUGCGUUGUAUUAGCUAGUUGGUGAGGUAACGGCUCACCAAGGCGACGAUACAUAGUCGACCUGAGAGGGUGAUCGGCCACACUGGGACUGAAACAAGGCCCAGACUCCUACGGGGGGCAGCAGUAGGGAAUUUUCGGCAAUGGACGGAAGUCUGACCGAGCAACGCCGCGUGUGUGAAGAAGGUUUUCGGAUCGUAAAGCUCUGUUGUAAGAGAAGAACGAGUGUGAGAGUGGAAAGUUCACACUGUGACGGUAUCUUACCAGAAAGGGACGGCUAACUACGUG
rnacentral:rRNA from 1 species